UUUUGAAUUUUGUAAUGAACCCAUGGCAUUUGCCCUACUCUGCCAUUGGUCAGAGACAUAAUAAAAAUCUUCAAA
rnacentral:sRNA from 1 species